AAAGCAUUGCUACACCUUUGAUUUCAAAGCCAAUGGAGGUUUCUGUCGGCUUCACAUUAUUGCCGCUCAUGAGUCUCCCUCAGACUGGAAUCAUAAGACGAGUAAAGGCUGGACCCACUACCAGAGAAUCUGCCAGUCCACUUUUGCCUCACGCCGUACCUGGAACAACUUACUGUGUCUCACCAAAGUUAACUGUCCUGACCCAAACAGCCAUUGUUUGUCAGGCAGAUGUUUAUGUCUUUUAGGCUUCAAGUUCAUAGAAUCCAAGAAGAAGUGUGUUGUUACAACAUGCAACACAGACGGGAUUCGGGAGACCUUUAGAGAGUACCCAGACAACUCUAUACGUGGAAACCUCCUUGAUAGCUCGGAUGGAAUCAGUCUGAAAGACUGCAAGGACAGGUGCAAGGCUUACAAGCGUUGCUUCACCUUUGAUUUCAAAGCCGAUGGAGGUCUCUGUCGACUUCAUAAUGUCACCC